rnacentral:rRNA from 1 species
UACGAAGGGUGCAAGCGUUAAUCGGAAUUACUGGGCGUAAAGGGUGCGUAGGCGGUUCGUUAAGUCUGUCGUGAAAUCCCCGGGCUCAACCUGGGAAUGGCGAUGGAUACUGGCGAGCUAGAGUGUGUCAGAGGAUGGUGGAAUUCCCGGUGUAGCGGUGAAAUGCGUAGAGAUCCGGAGGAACACCAGUGGCGAAGGCGACACGCUGGGCCAUACCUGACGCUAAAGCGCGACAGCAUGGGGAGCAAACGGG